UACAGUAACUUGAAGACAACGU
rnacentral:miRNA from 1 species